GUCUGAAGCUGCAGGGGCUGGGUUAAGGCUGGUCCUGUCAGGGUCUGAAGCUGCAGGGGCUGGGUUAGGGCUGGUCCUGUCAGGGUCUGAAGCUGCAGGGGCUGGGUUAAGGCUGGUCCUGUCAGGGUCUGAAGCUGCAGGGGCUGGGUUAAGGCUGGUCCUGUCAGGGUCUGAAGCUGCAGGGGCUGGGUUAGGGCUGGUCCUGUCAGGGUCUGAAGCUGCAGGGGCUGGGUUAGGGCUGGUCCUGUCAGGGUCUGAAGCUGCAGGGGCUGGGUUAGGGCUGGUCCUGCCCCCUCCCAAUAUGGGGGGUUGAGAGAGUAUAAAAUUUAUAGCCAUGCCCACUGAAGCAUAAGGACGCCUGUGUGUUAGCUGCUUGAUGUCUGUGUUUCGGUCCCCCACAUAGACCUUUACAACAUGCUGUCACGAAAUCUUUUAAUUGCGUCAGUGGUUGUCUUUCUGGUAGUAACAGCUUUCACAGCCCCAGUGGACGAGAUAGAACACGAGGACACGGAGGUGGAAACAGAGGAGGGAGAAGAGGAGCUCUCCGAGGAGGAGGAGGAUGAUGAUGACUCCAAGAGUCAGGAUAAGCACAUGGGAGCUGCAUCGCAGACGAGCACAGCAUCAAAGGGCCUGGG